rnacentral:rRNA from 1 species
GAUGAACGCUGGCGGCGUGCCUAAUACAUGCAAGUCGAACGAAUCUUCUUCGGAAGAUGAGUGGCGAACGGGUGAGUAAUACAUAGGUAACCUGCCCCUGUGCGGGGGAUAACAGGAGGAAACUCCUGCUAAUACCGCAUAGCCAUGAGCACCGCAUGGAGCUCAUGCCAAAUAUCCUUUCGGGGAUAGCGCAGGGAUGGACCUAUGGCGCAUUAGCCGGUUGGCGGGGCAACGGCCCACCAAGGCAACGAUGCGUAGCCGGCCUGAGAGGGCGGACGGACACAUUGGGACUGAGACACGGACCAGACUCCUACGGGAGGCAGCAGUAGGGAAUUUUCGGCAAUGGGGGAAACCCUGACCGAGCAACGCCGCGUGAGCGAAGAAGGCCUUCGGGUCGUAAGGCUCUGUUGUAAAGGAAGAACGGCGCAUACAGGAAAUGGUAUACGAGUGACGGUACUUUACCAGAAAGCCACGGCUAACUACGUGCCAGCAGCCGCCGUAA